GACGAACGCUGGCGGCGUGCUUAACACAUGCAAGUCGUACGGUAAGGCCCUUUCGGGGGUACACGAGUGGCGAACGGGUGAGUAACACGUGAGUAACCUGCCCACAACUUUGGGAUAACGCUAGGAAACUGGUGCUAAUACUAGAUAUGUGCUCCUGCUGCAUGGUGGGGGUUGGAAAGCUCCGGCGGUUGUGGAUGGACUCGCGGCCUAUCAGCUUGUUGGUGGGGUAGUGGCCUACCAAGGCGGCGACGGGUAGCCGGCCUGAGAGGGUGACCGGCCACAUUGGGACUGAGAUACGGCCCAGACUCCUACGGGAGGCAGCAGUGGGGAAUAUUGCACAAUGGGCGCAAGCCUGAUGCAGCAACGCCGCGUGCGGGAUAACGGCCUUCGGGUUGUAAACCGCUUUCAGCAGGGACGAAGCUUUUUGUGACGGUACCUGCAGAAGAAGCACCGGCUAACUACGUG
rnacentral:rRNA from 1 species